rnacentral:rRNA from 1 species
GAUGAACGCUGGCGGCGUGCCUAAUACAUGCAAGUCGAGCGAACAGACGAGGCGCUUGCUCCUCUGACGUUAGCGGCUGACGGGUGAGUAACACGUGGAUAACCUACCUAUAAGACUGGGAUAACUUCGGGAAACCGGCGCUAAUACCGGAUAAUAUAUUGAACCGCAUGGUUCAAUAGUGAAAGACGGUUUUGCUGUCACUUAUAGAUGGAUCCGCGCCGCAUUAGCUAGUUGGUAAGGUAACGGCUUACCAAGGCAACGAUGCGUAGCCGACCUGAGAGGGUGGACGGCCACACUGGAACUGAGGCACGGUCCAGACUCCUACGGGAGGCAGCAGUAGGGAAUCUUACGCAAUGGGGGAAAGCCUGACGGAGCAACGCCGCGUGAGUGAUGAAGGUGUUCGGAUCGUAAAGCUCUGUUAUUAGGGAAGAACAAAUGUGUAAGUAACUAUGCACGUCUUGACGGUACCUAAUCAGAAAGCCACGGCUAACUACGUG